rnacentral:rRNA from 1 species
GACGAACGCUGGCGGCGUGCUUAACACAUGCAAGUCGAACGGAAAGGCCCUGCUUUUGUGGGGUGCUCGAGUGGCGAACGGGUGAGUAACACGUGAGUAACCUGCCCUUGACUUUGGGAUAACUUCAGGAAACUGGGGCUAAUAUCGGAUAGGAGCUCCUGCUGCAUGGUGGGGGUUGGAAAGUUUCGGCGGUAGGGGAUGGAUUCGCGGCUUAUCAGCUUGUUGGUGGGGUAGUGGCUUACCAAGGCUUUGACGGGUAGCCGGCCUGAGAGGGUGACCGGCCACAUUAGGACUGAGAUACGGCCCAGACGCCUACGGGAGGCAGCAGUGGGGAAUAUUGCACAAUGGGCGGAAGCCUGAUGCAGCAACGCCGCGUGCGGGAUGACGGCCUUCGGGUUGUAAACCGCUUUCGCCUGUGACGAAGCGUGAGUGACGGUAAUGGGUAAAGAAGCACCGGCUAACUACGUG